AACGAACGCUGGCGGCAUGCCUAACACAUGCAAGUCGAACGAGACCUUCUGGUCUAGUGGCGCACGGGUGCGUAAAGCGUGGGAAUCUGCCCUUGGGGUCGGAAUAACAGUUGGAAACGACUGCUAAUAACGGGUGAUGACGUAAGUCCAAAGAUUUAUCGCCCAAGGAUGAGCCCGCGUAGGAUUAGCUAGUUGGUGAGGUAAAGGCUCACCAAGGCGUGGAUCCGUAGCUGGUCUGAGAGGAAGAUCAGCCACACUGGGACUGAGACACGGCCCAGACUCCUACGCAAGGGAGGAGUGCGGGAUAUUGGACACUGGGCGAAAGCCUGAUCCCGCAAUGCCGGGUGAGUGAUGAUGGCCUUAGGGAUGUGAAGCUCUUUUAACCGGGAUGAUAAUGACGGUACCGGGAGAAUAAGCUCCGGCUAACUCCGUG
rnacentral:rRNA from 1 species